AUAUCUCUCUGUACGGGAAGGAUGAGAAGCUUCGACUAAGGUUCGAUUCGAGCGUCAGCGAGAAAGCGUUGCCGCAGGCAACGACCCGAAGGGCGAAGCG
rnacentral:sRNA from 3 species